UACGGAGGAUCCAAGCGUUAUCCGGAAUUACUGGGCGUAAAGAGUUGCGUAGGUGGCAUAGUAAGUAGAUAGUGAAAGCGUGUGGCUCAACCAUACAUCCAUUAUCUAAACUGCUAAGCUAGAGAAUGAGAGAGGUUAUUGGAAUUCCCAGUGUAGGAGUGAAAUCCGUAGAUAUUGGGAGGAACACCGAUGGCGUAGGCAGAUAACUGGCUCAUUUCUGACACUAAGGCACGAAAGCGUGGGGAGCAAACGGGG
rnacentral:rRNA from 1 species